rnacentral:SRP_RNA from 2 species
UAAUAAAGCCAUUGCGAUAUUUGUGACAUGAACCUGGUCAGGACCGGAAGGUAGCAGCCAUAAGUGCUCCAAAUGUGUGCAAUGGUUUUUGUUUAAA